AGGACGAACGCUGGCGGCGUGCUUAACACAUGCAAGUCGAGCGGUAAGGCCUUUCGGGGUACACGAGCGGCGAACGGGUGAGUAACACGUGGGUGAUCUGCCCUGCACUUCGGGAUAAGCCUGGGAAACUGGGUCUAAUACCGGAUAUGACUUCAGGUUGCAUGACUUGGGGUGGAAAGAUUUAUCGGUGCAGGAUGGGCCCGCGGCCUAUCAGCUUGUUGGUGGGGUAAUGGCCUACCGAAGGCGACGACGGGUAGCCGACCUGAGAGGGUGACCGGCCACACUGGGACUGAGACACGGCCCAG
rnacentral:rRNA from 1 species